UAGGGAAUCUUCGGCAAUGGGGGGAACCCUGACCGAGCAACGCCGCGUGAGUGAAGAAGGUUUUCGGAUCGUAAAGCUCUGUUGUUAAGGAAGAACGAGUGUGAGAAUGGAAAGUUCAUACUGUGACGGUACUUAACCAGAAAGGGACGGCUAACUACGUGCCAGCAGCCGCGGUAAUACGUAGGUCCCGAGCGUUUUCCGGAUUUAUUGGGCGUAAAGCGAGCGCAGGCGGUUAGAUAAGUCUGAAGUUAAAGGCAGUGGCUCAACCAUUGUAGGCUUUGGAAACUGUUUAACUUGUGUGCAGAAGGGGAGAGUGGAAUUCCAUGUGUAGCGGUGAAAUGCGUAGAUAUAUGGAGGAACACCGGUGGCGAAAGCGGCUCUCUGGUCUGUAACUGACGCUGAGGCUCGAAAGCGUGGGGAGCGAACAGG
rnacentral:rRNA from 1 species